CCAAACCGGAUGCUAUAAAGGUGCUGAUCUCCGAGGGCUGCGCCACCCAGGGCGACGACGCCGACCCCGCCCACGGAGGUAAAGAGAUCGACCUGAGUCCUGGUUCUCCUCUGGUCCUGACCCAUAAGAUCAGAGUGAUCCCGACCGGGUCUGGAUCUGGGUCCGGGUCUUGCGGCUGCGAGGCGGACUUCGCCGCCCUGAGGGAGCGUCUGGAGCGGUUGGAGAGGGAGGUGUCGUCGCUCAGGGAGAAAUGUGGAGGAGCUGAGGGUGGAUGCUGCACCUCCAAGG